UACGUAGGGUGCAAGCGUUAAUCGGAAUUACUGGGCGUAAAGCGUGCGCAGGCGGUUUUGUAAGUCAGAUGUGAAAUCCCCGGGCUUAACCUGGGAACUGCGUUUGAAACUACAAGGCUAGAGUGUGGCAGAGGGGGGUGGAAUUCCACGUGUAGCAGUGAAAUGCGUAGAGAUGUGGAGGAACACCGAUGGCGAAGGCAGCCCCGUGGGUUAACACUGACGCUCAGGCACGAAAGCGUGGGGAGCAAACAGG
rnacentral:rRNA from 1 species